rnacentral:rRNA from 1 species
CGGGACGGGGUGGAGUAAUGUCUGGGAAACGUGCCUGAUGGAGGGGGGUAACUACUGGAAACGGUAGCUAAUACCGCAUAACGUCGCAAGACCAAAGAGGGGGACCUUAGGGCCUCUUGCCAUCGGAUGUGCCCAGAUGGGAUUAGCUAGUAGGUGGGGUAACGGCUCACCUAGGCGACGAUCCCUAGCUGGUCUGAGAGGAUGACCAGCCACACUGGAACUGAGACACGGUCCAG